rnacentral:misc_RNA from 1 species
GGAAGGAUCAUUCACAAUGAAAAUCCACACUCUGUGAACCUGGAAUAUGUGACUGGCGCUUCGGCUGACCAAUCAUGUAUUUCAAUUGGUGCUCUUGUUCGUUGAUGAGCAUCACACGCUUGCGUGGUCGAACAAACCUGUUGUAGUUUAUUAUAUUAUAUUAAAAAGCCUUAUUGACUAUCAGCGAUGGAUGUCUUGGCUCCCACAACGAUGAAGGACGCAGCAAAAUGUGAUAAUCAUUGUGACUUGCAGAAUUUAGAGAAUCAAUAGAACGCUGAACGCAUACGGCACUGCGGCCGAAUAAGCUGCAGUAGGUCUGUUUCAGAGUCAUUUGCAAUCACUUAAGAACUUCGGUUACUUGAGUGGCUAGGUGCUGCUCGGCUUACGCUUGGCAGUCGCAGUGUUCUACAAUUGCAUUGGUGCAACAGAUUCGUUGAAGUUGUUGUACCUUGCGUAUGUUGUAGCAUACAAUUACACGACCUGAAAUCAGUCCAGGCUACCCGCUGAAUUUAAGCAUAUUAUUAAGCGGAGGAAAAGAAAAUAACUAUGAUUCCCCUAGUAGAGGCGAUUGAACAGGGAAAAGCACAAAUUGACAAUCUCACCUUACGGUGCGAGUUGUAGUCUAAAGGGGCAAAACCUUGGAACAUGCAAGAAUAAUUUCCUUGAACGGAAAGCCAGAGAGGGUGAAAGUCCCGUCUUCGUCUUGUGUCGACCUGUCCGGUUUGUCUUCAAGGAGUCGCGUUCUUUGGGAAUAGAGCGCUAAGUGGGUGGUAAAUUUCAUCCAAUGCUAAAUAUUGGUGGGAGACCGAUAGCGAACAAGUACCGUGAGGGAAAGAUGAAAAGAACUUUGAAAAGAGGGUUAAAAGUGCCUGAAAUUGCUGGUAUGGAAGCGAAUUGCAUUGUCAUGGCGAAAGCAACGUGGUUGAUUGAAAGGCGUAACUUCUAAGUGAAUCGCAAGAGCACUUGGAAGGGGAGUCUGAUUUGAACCCUCCGUUCUCUCGCGUAGCCUGCGUCAGUUGUGAUUGUGUAAUAACCCCUGUAAGGUGUGGCUUGCUACAUUUUGCGGGACGGACGACACGAAUGCUGCUGAAGCCAUUCUGUGGUGUGCAGGCAAACCGAUGCAAUUCGACCCGUCUUGAAACACGGACCAAGGAGUCUAACUUUUGUGCAAGUGUGCUGGUGGAAAACCAGUGCGCGUAAUUAAAGUGAUAGCAGGGAUAUUUGCACCUGCGACCGACCAUCUAGUAGUUUACUACUAUACAGGUUUGAGUUUGAGCAUAAAGGUUAGGACCCGAAAGAUGGUGAACUAUGCCUGAAUAGGGUGAAGCCAGGGGAAACCCUGGUGGAGGCUCGUAGCGAUACUGACGUGCAAAUCGUUCGUCAAAUUUGGGUAUAGGGGCGAAAGACUAAUCGAACCAUCUAGUAGCUGGUUCCCUC